AGUGUGCCAUCUCUGCCCAUAAUCCAAAUGGCGUGCCUGAGGCAUAGAAAGCAGCUUUCAGGGAGGCCUUCCUUCCUCUGAGCAAUGGUGGCAUCAUCAGAAAAGUGGAGCUCCUCCAAAAGGAUCUGCUGGAAGCAGAGGACGCCCAUGUCGCCUGGUGACUCCCUCUGACCCAACAAGUUGCAGCACCUCUGCUGGGCUUUGCCACUGCCCCAUUUUUGCCAGAGCCUCACCCUGGUGGGGCCCCACCUCUGGGAAGCCCCAGCGCCUGCAAGAUUUUUUCCUCUCGUGACAGGGAGCAGCAUGCGGAGGGCCCUUGCACAACCUGGGUCUUCAGGAAGGACAGUUUCUAACCAGAGUUCUGUUCCUUGCCCAGGUGUUGGCCCAGCUCUCUUCAUGGUUCCAAGAAGGCUGCCCCAGGAAGGCUUGUGGACAGAGGGAGAAGCAUCUCUUCCUCUAUGUCUCUUUUUAUCUAAGAAACCAGUUUGACCAGC
rnacentral:lncRNA from 10 species